rnacentral:rRNA from 1 species
UACGUAGGGGGCAAGCGUUGUCCGGAAUCAUUGGGCGUAAAGAGCGUGUAGGCGGCCAGGUAGGUCUGCUGUGAAAACUCGAGGCUCAACCUCGAGACGUCGGCGGAAACCAUCUGGCUAGAGUCCGGAAGAGGAGAGUGGAAUUCCUGGUGUAGCGGUGAAAUGCGCAGAUAUCAGGAAGAACACCCGUGGCGAAGGCGGCUCGCUGGGACGGUACUGACGCUGAGACGCGAAAGCGUGGGGAGCAAACAGG